UACGGAGGGUGCAAGCAUUAAUCGGAUUUAUUGGGCGUAAAGGGCGCGUAGGCGGUUUUGUAAGUCAGAUGUGAAAUACCAAAGCUCAACUUUGGUGCUGCAUUUGAAACUGCAAGACUAGAGGGAUGGCGGAGAAAACGGAAUUCCACGUGUAGCGGUGAAAUGCGUAGAUAUGUGGAAGAACACCUGUGGCGAAAGCGGUUUUCUAGCUAUUACCUGACGCUGAGGCGCGAGAGCAAGGGGAGCAAACAGG
rnacentral:rRNA from 1 species